rnacentral:rRNA from 1 species
CGGCGGACGGGUGAGUAACACGUGGAUAACCUACCUAUAAGACUGGGAUAACUUCGGGAAACCGGAGCUAAUACCGGAUAAUAUAUUGAACCGCAUGGUUCAAUAGUGAAAGACGGUUUUGCUGUCACUUAUAGAUGGAUCCGCGCCGCAUUAGCUAGUUGGUAAGGUAACGGCUUACCAAGGCAACGAUGCGUAGCCGACCUGAGAGGGUGAUCGGCCACACUGGAACUGAUACACGGUCCAGACUCCUACGGGAGGCAGCAGGG